AGUCGAGCGCGAAACCUUCGGGUGAGUAGAGCGGCGCACGGGUGAGUAACACGUGGGUAAUCUGCCCUCAGGCCUGGAAUAACCAAGGGAAACUUUGGCUAAUACCGGAUAACGCCACCAUACGAGAGUGUGGUGGAAAAAGCAGGGGACUUCUUCGGAAGCCUUGCACCAGAGGAUGAGCCCGCGUCCCAUCAGCUAGUUGGCGAGGUAAUGGCUCACCAAGGCUAAGACGGGUAGCUGGUCUGAGAGGAUGACCAGCCACACUGGAACUGAGACACGGUCCAGACUCCUACGGGAGGCAGCAGUGGGGAAUAUUGCGCAAUGGACGAAAGUCUGACGCAGCAACGCCGCGUGAGUGAUGAAGGUCUUCGGAUCGUAAAGCUCUGUCGGCAGGAACGAUGUUUUUGAGAACUAAUACUUCUCAGAAUUGACGGUACCUGCAAAGGAAGCACCGGCUAACUCUGUGCCAGCAGCCGCGGUAAUACAGAGGGUGCAAGCGUUGUUCGGAAUCAUUGGGCGUAAAGGGCGCGUAGGCGGUUGAUCAAGUUGAAUGUGAAAGCCCGGGGCUCAACCUCGGAAGUGCAUUCAAAACUGGUCAACUAGAGUUCCGCAGAGGAUGGUAGAAUUCCCAGUGUAGAGGUGAAAUUCGUAGAUAUUGGGAGGAAUACCAGUGGCGAAGGCGACCAUCUGGACGGAUACUGACGCUGAGGCGCGAAAGCGUGGGUAGCAAACAGGAUUAGAUACCCUGGUAGUCCACGCCGUAAACGAUGGAUACUAGUUGUUGUGGGUAUUGACCCCUACAGUGACGCAGCUAACGCAAUAAGUAUCCCGCCUGGGAAGUACGGCCGCAAGGCUAAAACUCAAAGGAAUUGAC
rnacentral:rRNA from 1 species